rnacentral:rRNA from 1 species
UACGAAGGGGGCUAGCGUUGCUCGGAAUUACUGGGCGUAAAGCGCACGUAGGCGGCUUUCUAAGUCGGGGGUGAAAUCCUGGAGCUCAACUCCAGAACUGCCUUCGAUACUGGAGAGCUCGAGUCCGGGAGAGGUGAGUGGAACUGCGAGUGUAGAGGUGAAAUUCGUAGAUAUCGUAAGGAAGACCAGUGGCGAAGGCGAAUCUCUGGACAAUCACUGACGCUGAGGCACGAAGGCCAGGGGAGCAAACGGG